rnacentral:rRNA from 1 species
UACGUAGGGUGCAAGCGUUAAUCGGAAUUACUGGGCGUAAAGCGUGCGCAGGCGGUUGUGCAAGACAGAUGUGAAAUCCCCGGGCUUAACCUGGGAAUGGCAUUUGGGACUGCAAGGCUUGAGUGCGGCAGAGGAGACUGGAAUUCCUGGUGUAGCAGUGAAAUGCGUAGAGAUGUGGAGGAACACCGAUGGCGAAGGCAGCCUCCUGGGCCAGCACUGACGCUCAUGCACGAAAGCGUGGGGAGCAAACAGG